CCUACGGGUGGCAGCAGUGGGGAAUAUUGCACAAUGGGGGGAACCCUGAUGCAGCGACGCCGCGUGGGUGUGGAAGUACUUCGGUAUGUAAAGACCUAUCAGCAGGGAAGAAAAUGACGGUACAUGACUAAGAAGCCCCGGCUAACUACGUGCCAGAAUCCGCGGUAAUACGUAGGGGGCAAGCGUUAGCCGGAUGUACUGGGUGUAAAGGGAGCGUAGACGGGGGGCCAAGUCUGAUGGGAAAGGCCGGGGAGCAACCCCGGGACCGCAUUGGAAACUGGCAUGCUGGAGAGGCGGAGGGGCAAGCGGAAUUCCUAGUGUAGCGGUGAAAUGCGUAGAUAUUAGGAGGAACACCGGUGGCGAAGGCGGCUUGCUGGACGGUAACUGACGUUGAGGCUCGAAAGCGUGGGGAGCAAACAGGAUUAGAUACCCCUGUAGUC
rnacentral:rRNA from 1 species